GGACAAAGUGAAUGAUGGUAAGAAUUCCAAGAACAUCAGGAUAGCCUCGGAAAAGAGCCUCAGUGCAGGCCACACCCCCCUCUACGUAAGGGAGCGGGAGGAGCAGCUGGUGGGAAGGGAGCGGACUCGGGCUGCAUCAGCUGAUCCGGAGCCUGAAGCGCCCUGCAGCCAUUUUGGUUACUGGUACCUCCACAACUGCUGACCGUUUCUCCAGGAUCCCGAAGAAUAAGUCUCUAUCAGGGUUCAAGCUAAGAAGCAAAACUACCAGAAUGGAGACAGAGCUAUAUAAUAUGAAGACAUUUGACCCUACACAAUUUUGGAGUUAAACUAUAUAAGGCUGCUACCUUUGGAUCUGUGGCUGGAGCUUGAAGUCCCCAAGGCUGAGAGUCAGGAAGGGAAGAUAGAGGAGAUUCACGACAACCUGGAAUGUGGAAGCACAAGCCAUGUUCAUGGGGACCACCUGAAACAAAAGCUAGCUUCUGCUGCCUCUGAACCUGAUGUCCUGCAGAAGCUGGAGUCCUUCAUUACAGAACUGAACACACAUUUGUCUCAGGAGUCAGCACUGAAAGGAGGAUCCAGCGGAAGACUGAGCAAUUUGCCUUAUCUGGCUAUCUGGCUUGGCUGCUGCUGCAUGCCAGUGAGGUAAACCAGCAGGGAAGCAACAAUAUACAUGAGCUACAAAGUGACUACUUUGUGUCACUUCUGUAAAUCUAAAACAAGGUUUACAGUGAAACAAGUCACUACAAAGUAUCACUACUGUAAAUCUGAAACAAGAAUCUCUUUUGUGACCCACCCCAGCCAGAAACACAUAAAAGAGAACUCCAGGAAAAGUAGGUUGACAGAUUGCAAAGCCACCAAGCACACACUUGCACUGUUAUAAGAAUAGAAAGGCACAUUGCUGGCUCAGUCAGUGGAGCAUGCUACUCUUGAUCCCAGGGUCAUGAGUUCGAGCCCUA